rnacentral:lncRNA from 1 species
GCUCUGCUGGCAGCCUGAGCAGAGACAUACACACACGUCUUCAUUGCCUGAUGAGGAGCAGAGGUACCCCACACAGGAAAGUCAAGUGAUCAUGCCUGCAGGACGAUCAACAAGCAAGACUUGACACGGUGCUUGCUGGUCUUUGCGCGAAGGAUGUACACUUGACGUGCAAGGGCCUUCGCAGGACAAGUCGCCUCCUCAAGAGAGGGGAGCACAAUAACGGGCAGCUCCUCCUUGGUGCAGACUCAAACACUGUUCUUUGGGCAAUCCCAAAGCUGGUCAAGCCAUCACCAGAAUGGCAGAAAGCGUAAAAGUAUGUGCGCAACUGAGAAUUUGGCAGCUUCAAUCGUGGGGCACGCGUUCACAAAUGGCAGCAUGCAAAAAGACUCUGAUUUCUCAAAAGCAGCAUGCAUAAUGGGAUCAGCCAUUCUAUGUAUUCUAUUGGGUAUUCUGCUGACGGCUGCCACUAAAAAGGUUGUUCAUUUGUUUCCAGCAUGCAAAACUGGCCCUGGCUGGCAGGGGGCGGAAAGCACUGAGCACCGUGCCCACUUAUUUGGGUCUUGCUUGGACUUGGCAAGUCCAUCGAGGGGUAGGCUUGCGGCAGCCUUUUAACUGCAGCUUGUCUGCAGACGCACCCUGCCUCUUGGCAGGAAAAGCGGGUAAAAACAACAAUAACAACUACAAUGCAAAGUUGCUGGGUCACCUGUGGAGAGGCGUCCCUGCUGCGCUGCGCUCGGUCAGGGCUGCUGCCGCGGCUGCCAAACACCUCGUCAAAGGGGUCCACAAUAGGCGCCUGCAUGCAUGCAGCCGCCCCCGUCAACUUCUGCCCCAGAUUCCGGACGUGGAAACAAUUCAUAAAAAGAUCCAAAGGUCAGGACCACAUCGGGCUGCCUCCUCACAUGCUUAUGUGAAUAGACUGAUGUGUGCAGAUCACACUUCACACAUUGGGGUGAAGGUCACAAAAGCAGAAGGAACAACGGACCCUGAGCUAGAAAUCAAGCAUGCCAAGCAAAGCCGAGCAGUAAAUUUCUUGUAACCCUGCCAAAGAGCAGGAAGGUGCACGGCAGCUCCUGAGGGAAGAAAGAACCUUGGACAGGGGGGACCGCGGCUGGGGAGUCCGGGAGCGCGGGGACCCGGAGCCAGAAUAGGCCGCCUCCUGUUUCAAACCCGCGCUCAUAUUCGAAGGCCGCUCCGGGCUCGCCACGGGUGACUCAUCGUCAGAUCCCUCGUCCAUGGAAGAUACUGAGCCUGCAUCUGACGGCGGAGGCGCCUUGUGCAGAAUCGCCGACCGCA